GCUCAGGAUGAACGCUGGCGGCGUGCCUAAUACAUGCAAGUCGAACGAACUUCCGUUAAUUGAUUAUGACGUACUUGUACUGAUUGAGAUUUUAACACGAAGUGAGUGGCGAACGGGUGAGUAACACGUGGGUAACCUGCCCAGAAGUAGGGGAUAACACCUGGAAACAGAUGCUAAUACCGUAUAACAGAGAAAACCGCAUGGUUUUCUUUUAAAAGAUGGCUCUGCUAUCACUUCUGGAUGGACCCGCGGCGUAUUAGCUAGUUGGUGAGGUAAAGGCUCACCAAGGCAGUGAUACGUAGCCGACCUGAGAGGGUAAUCGGCCACAUUGGGACUGAGACACGGCCCAGACUCCUACGGGAGGCAGCAGUAGGGAAUCUUCCACAAUGGACGCAAGUCUGAUGGAGCAACGCCGCGUGAGUGAAGAAGGGUUUCGGCUCGUAAAGCUCUGUUGUUAAAGAAGAACGUGGGUAAGAGUAACUGUUUACCCAGUGACGGUAUUUAACCAGAAAGCCACGGCUAACUACGUGCCAGCAGCCGCGGUAAUACGUAGGUGGCAAGCGUUAUCCGGAUUUAUUGGGCGUAAAGCGAGCGCAGGCGGUCUUUUAAGUCUAAUGUGAAAGCCUUCGGCUCAACCGAAGAAGUGCAUUGGAAACUGGGAGA
rnacentral:rRNA from 1 species